ensembl:lncRNA
AAGAAUUGAUGCUUUUGAACUGUGGUGUUGGAGAAGACUCCUGAGAGUCCCUUGGACUGCAAGGAGAUCCAACCAGUCCAUUCUAAAGGAGAUCAGUCCUGGGUGUUCUUUGGAAGGACUGAUGCUAAAGCUGAAACUCCAAUACUUUGGCCACCUCAUGCAAAGAGUUGACUCAUUGGAAAAGACUCUGAUGCUGGGAGGGAUUGAGGGCAGGAGGAGAAGGGGACGACAGAGGAUGAGAUGGCUGGAUGGCAUCACCGACUCGAUGGACGUGAGUUUGAGUGAACUCCGGGAGUUGGUGAUGGACAGGGAGGCCUGGCGUGCUGCAGUUCAUGGGGUCACAAAGAGUCGGACACAACUGAGUGACUGAUCUGAACUGAACUGAACUGAACUGAGACUUUGUUUUGGCUGGAAGUUAAUUUACUCAUGAAAUAGUUUGAUCCGUUUGAGUCCUGUCUUUGAGCUUUGCUAUUCAGGGUCCAAAGUAACCUUCACUCCAGGAUGUCUACUCAAGUAUGACUCCCCUGGGCUCUCCGUCAAUUGGCCAGGGGAUCAUGAAGAACUCUCCAUUUUGUUUGGUACACAAGCAUUGCCACCUUGUGAGAACUCUGGGUUGUUCAGCUUACUACUCUCUGGUCAUUUCUUUUGCCUCAUUUUGUAGAGUUUCACCUUAUACAUACACAUAAUAAUUCUCAACAGACUCAAGAGGAUAUCUCAGCAGACUUAUGGUGUUCUUUUCCUGUGUAUUGCCCCUCUUUUGUGAAAUUGUGAUCCUCAACUCCUAGCCUCUUCAGCUUCCCCAGUCUCUGGGUUCUGUCUCCUCUGCUUAUCAAAGCUUGCAGAUUGUGCUCAUAAUUUCCAGAUGGGAACUGCCUCCAAGGAUAAAUCCAGAGGUAUUUUAAGGCUCAUCUUAUUGAUCCUUUCUCUCAGGGAUCAGUUUUAUACUGCCUAUUUCCCAAUGUUUUAAAGCAGUUGUAAUCCAAACAAGCCUAGAAGAUGACAUCUUGCUGUGUUAAUAAAGCAGUUUCUCCAAGUCAGUUUUUAUUUAUGCUAAAAAUACUGUUAUUGUUACAAUAAUAUUUUCUUCAAAAGUUAAUUGCAAUAACUAAAAUACACAAUAGUCUGAAAUAAUGUAAAGUGAUGUAUAUAAUAAACAAUGAAACAAAACAAGAACAGUUAAUAAACACUCGUUCUAUUUUUACUUUCCAUUGAUACCAACAGUAUGAAUAGAUUUGGCAUUUUUAUGAAAUUAUAUAAUUUUAUAACUGUAAGGAAUGUAUCUCAGAGACACUGAGUUGGUCCAAAUGCCUCAUUUUACAUGAACAGACUAAGGCUUCAUGAGUAACAAGUGGUUUUCCCAAGACCUUGUGGCCAGUGAGCAGAAGAAUGAGACUGUCACUCAGGUGUCCUGGCUUCCCAGUCUGUGACACAUCCAUUCAUCCAACUCACAUUUAGUGAAUAUUUACUAACUUCAGAGCACUGAACUAACUGCUAUAUUGCUUCUGUAUCGUGUUCUGGUUUGCAAAAAUGUUUAAAAAUUGAUUUGGGGACAUUAUAGUAGAUUCAAUAAAUCAGCAUAUAAUUCUAGAUGUCUCAAGAGUAAAUCUGCCUGGCAUUCAUUUGAGUAGCCUACAUUGUCCAAAGUUCAGAAAUGUGAAAUGCUCCUCGCAUUCAACUCCCAUGGGAUAUUCCACUGUGGUCCCUUAGACAUAUGAAUAUGCUAGGUAAUUACUGUGGUUUUAUGGCUUUGUCUGUCAUGAUGUUAGGGAAACUGAGAAUUUACCCUGCAUGCCACCAUGCCAGUGAUCCAAUCCAAAGAUGGACAAUAAAACUUUAAGGAAGGUGAUCAGUAAGUUGCAAAGAGUAAGUGAAAAGAGCUCCAUAUACAGUGUCAGGAGGCCUGGGUUCUAGGCCUAGUUUGUUGCUUGUCUUCUCUGGGUCUAGAUUUUCCUGACUGUAAAAUGAGCCCAAUAUGACCUACAAUGUCCACUCCAGGUUGGAGAUCUUAACACCUGAAGCUCUACCUGGAGCUACCCCUACUGAGAAGCAUGAUGAAGCUGGGGAGUGGUGGUGGGUAGGAGCUGAGUGUGGAAGUGGAAGGUGUGGGAAGCAUUCUAAACCCAAGGGGCAACAUGAGCCAAGGUGACCGAGCAGGGAUCUGGCUAACUUGGAUUUUGUGAUCUGAUGGAUUGCUGGAACGAAGAAAACAAAGUGAAGACCCAUGAGGAGGCAUCCACCUGCAAAUGAAGGAGACGUGGGUUCCAUCCCUGGGUUGGAAGAUGCCCUGGAGGAGGAAAUGGCAACCCACUCCAGUAUUCUUGCCUGGAGAAUUCCAUGGACAGAGGAGCCUGGUGGGCUACAGUCCAUAGGGUCCAAAGAGUUGGACACGACUGAGCACACACACACACACACACACACACAGAGGCAAACACUUUCCUCUUAAGAUUACCACUGAAAUAAAGACAGAAAUUUUCAAUAUAUUAUAUAGAACUCCACUCUUAUAGAAAAUGGUCAGGGUUUUAUUGAUUCUGGUUUGCAAAAUACCAGUGAAAGGAGAUAGUGGUAUAUGAGAUGAGACAUGUUGAUCAGGAGGAGAUCAUAGACAGCCUUGAACAUCAGGCUCCAGGAUUAGUCAUUUAUUCUGUAGGUUGUGGAGAAAGAUUGAAAAUUUAUGGGCAAAGGCUUAUAUGAUCAGAUCUGUGUUUCAGCUUUCUGGUUAUAGUAUGGAGGAUGGACAGAGAACAGGGGAGUUGAGACAGACAGACUGGCCAGGAGGCUGGCACAAUAGCCCGAGUGACGAAGGAUGAAAGAUGCAAGAAUGAGUUUGUUAUCAGAGAGUAAGAACAGUGUUCAUGAAAAAGCACUGAGAAUGGAGACCAUUUGGGGCCUUCCUACUGACAGACAUGGGGAGAGGGAGGGGUCCACAUUGCUGGCCUACGUUCUAGCCCAUGGGAUGGAGUGACUGGUGAUGUAGAGUCACCCCAGAGCCAGAGCGAAAAUAGAAAGGGGCUUGGGAAAAAGACAAAUCUGGGUGUUCAUUUGGUUCACUCCGUUUCUUCUGUGGUAAAAUACGGAUGAGUGCAUGUAUGUCUUGGAGUUUUUGUAAGGACUGAUGGAUUAGUAUACAUGCAAGUGCCUAGGACAUAUAAGUCUAUCCAUCCAUCAUUUGAUUAAAUCUGUGCAAAUAUGGAGGGAAAUAAUUAGUUCAACUGGGAUCAUAUCAAACAUUUCAAAUUCACUUUGAGUAAAGGGAUCAUGGCUGAGUGGAUCUCUAUGGGAUUGGACCGUUCUACUCCCAGAUGCUAGGCUGGGCCACAGUUCAACGCCAGGAAGUUGUUUUUGGCAACAAUAGAUGCCUUUCUUUCCCUUCCUUUCAUGACCAACCUCCCACUGCAAUCUAUUUCUAAGUUUCUAAUUCUAAUGCAGUAAAUGACAAAAGAAAGAAGAACACAAACAUAAAAUUGAUGAGUGUAUUUUUUUGGUGGCCUCCUCUGAGGACACUCCUGUGCUAGGCACCCAUCCAUAGAUGUGUAAGAAACUGUUACUUGGACUUUUCUCCAGGAUUGGACAUCAGAAUUGGGUGGCCCAGGCAAGGGUGGCCUUGCCUUGGGAGAUGCAGACACUUUGGGAGGUGAGACUGUCCCAUUGAGCCUAAGGUCAGCUGCAGAUCUUUUUUUUUUUCUUUUGCUGCAGAACUUCUAUGUGAUGAGCAACAACAGGCACUAUCUCUCAGGCUUUUGAUCCUUGCUCAAUUUGCGCAUUGCUCAAAUCAGCCAAACCCUUCCACUCUGGCCUCCUCCCUCUUUCUCAGCUCUCAGGGACCAGCAUCUUGAGCAGGUGAGAGCCUUCACUCAGCCCUUCAGUCAUGACUGCAGUGCUGUGUGCCAGCCAUGCAAAACAGAAGCAGGGAGCACUGUCAGGCAAGCAGGGAUUUUAGCCCUGCCAGAUCCCUCAUUUCCUGGUUUCUUCCCCGCCCAAGGUCACAAAACCCCUGGCAAAGCAGCUGCAGCUAUAAUCUCAGAUUUAGAGAAAGCCUGCAGGCCCUGACUCCCCUUCUUGGCUUCUAACCCAGGCUGGAUGUUGUACUUUUAAACACUCAGCCAUUGAGGGAUUGGGCCCAAGUCCUUUCCCCUAGAAUCUAAGUAUGCUUGUGACUGCUUUGAUAAGUAGUAUGGCAGAAGUCAUAUUUUGUUCCUCUUACUCUAGGUCAUCAAAAACCAUGUAGCUUCCACUUUGUUCACUGGAGACUUAGUUCUCUGAUCAACAGUCCCUGCUGAGCCCAGUCUUGCAGCCAUGUCCACCCAUGAGCCUGCCAUGUGUGUGAAGCCAUCUCAGACCCUUCAGACAAGCUCAUAUGCCAGCUGAGUACCUCCAGGCAACCAUAGUUGGUGCCCAGCCUGAAUUCCUGAUCCACAAAAGCUAUGAGAUAAUAAUAAAGUGGUUGUUGUAACCUACCAGAGUUUCAGGUGGUUUGAUAUGCAGCAAUAGGUGACUAGAACACUAGACAUAAAUAGAAGAAACUUUGCAGAUGGCUUUUGAUGGCUUUUUGAUUUCAUAUGAUUUGCCCUAUCGAUCUGCUUCUGACCAUGACAAUUCCAUUUUGCUUGAAACUUGGAUCACGUUACCUUUUAACUGAGCCAGAACUUCACCUGGGUUCACAGACAGGUCCCUGAGCCACAGUAAGGGUUUCAUGCUUGCCAGUGCAGGUUUGGUUGUCAUUAAAUGUCCACUCCAGUUAUUCCAACACAGCCCUGCAUACUGCCUUCAUACAAAGGAUUUGCAGAAAUUCGAAGUGUGGCUGCAUAAGUCAUUUUCUGUGGAUCCUGAGAAACAGCGUGGAGACAUUUUAUCACCAUAUUCACACGCAGAAAGGGUAUCUUGCCUUUUCUUGCCUUGUACCUGCCUUCACGUGUGGAGUAUAGGAUUUCCAGGUGGCGAUUUUUCUCCCCUCUUACCAUCAUUCUUGUCCUUACAUUCCAGAAGCCUCUUUUUCACCCUUGAUUUGGGGGGAAGUUCCCGGUUUCCUGAAUGAGGUUUAAGUAUGGGAGUAAGGGUGGGCUGUGUCCCCAUGGUCAAGCGACAUGCUUAUAGGCGCUCUUCUCGCAGUAUGCCAACAGGACAGGUGUGGACCUGGAGUCAGAAGGAUGUGGGUUCAGUGCUGAGCUCUACCACAUACAAGUUGUGUAACCCUAGAGUAGUUCCUUAAUCUCCUUCAGUCUUGGUUUUCUCAUUAAUUGAAAGGAGACAGUUUUCACCAUUUUCACAGGAAAUUUGAGGCUAUCUUAGUUUGGGUUUGGCCAGAAGCAGAUCCUGAGAUGAGGAUGUGAGUGCGAAUGGUAUAUUUGGGAGGCAGAGGGAAUGCAGGGAAGAAGCGUGGGCAGUGGAUGGGGAAGGGAAGGCAAUCAGUUAGUGGAUCACUGUCAAGUCAGUUACCACUGGGGACAGCUGCAGCUUGAUCCCAACAGAGACAGUCUUGGAAAGUAUAAAACACAUGCCCUGAAAAUUAUACUCCCCGAGGGGCAAGGGAGUAGGGGUAUUUAAACACUGACUCCCCUCAGUCUAUUGGCUGAAGGCUGUUCCCCAGAGGGGGUUAAUUUCCCAGGGAGAACAAAUGUCCCAGCUCAAGUGGACAGCUCCAUUCUGCAAAAAACCCUCAGGCCCAGAGACACCGAUCCUCGAAGUUGGAUGUUUCCUCGAGCAUACUGAAAGGAUAAAGUUGGAGGGUUAUAGGCUGUGCUGUUAUAGCAUCAGUUAGAGGGGAUUGAACAAGAUGUAUAUAAAAAGCUGGGCUACAGCAGACAUCUAACACAUACCAGCUUAUUUCUCCUCUUCCUUCACCUCCCUGGCCCACAACGACCUCUGCCUUCUCUUGUCUUUACUGAAUACCUAGGUACUUUGGUAUUUGAUAUGUACUAUUUUAGGCUUCCCAGGUGGCACAGCUGUGAAGAAUCCACCUGCCAACACAGGAGAUGUGGGGUCGAUCCCUAGGUUGGGAAGAUCCUCUGGAGAAGUAAAUGGAACUCACUCCAGUAUCCUCGCCUGGGAAAUCCCAUGAACAGAGCCCGGUGGGCUACCAGUCAUGGGGUCACAAGAGUUUGACGUAACUUAGCAACUAAACAACAAGAACAAAGUACUUGUUUAGCCACUGAUAGCUUGUCCUUCAGAUAAAUACUAGUAAAUGCAGCAAAGAUCAGCUCCUCCCAUUUCUUACACUUUAUUGCAUCUCCUAUAGUACCCAGCUUAGCAAGAAAUAUAUGGUAGAUACUAAGUAGUACAUACUAGUCAGACAACAGAGGCCAAACCACCUUGGUUGAUAAUGGGAAGGGCUUGCACAGGCCUGGUGGAGUAACCUGUUAAUGUGACACUUUAACAUAAAGAGUUAAUGUAGAUAGAGCAUAGUACUGAUGCCAGGGACAAUUCAUUAUGUAGUUGAUUGUUCCUUUAUUUAUUUAUUUAUAUUUAUUUAACCUCCAUCAUGAGAUUAAAGACAGGAAUCAUUCUUGGAGGAGACAAUGACUCUCAAAGCAAAGAAAAAAUAAUAUGUUCUGAGAAAAUAGUUUUCUAGUUCUGCUUUACUUUCCCCAAUUAUUGGGAAACAAAUUGGUAAUCCUGUUACCUUCCACUUGGCUUAUGUGACAAUAUUUAGACACUGGUCUUGGCUGUGCAGUGUGUAGGUUAUGGGGCAAUGGACAGUUUACUACAAGCACUCUUAUAAUUUAUAUGUAUUAAUUCUCAUGAUAAAUCUAUGAAGGAGAUUUUAUGUCCAUUUAAUAGGUGAGAAAAUUCAGGCAACCUGCCCAAGGUCAUAUGGCUAUUCAGUGGCAGAGCCAGGAUUUAAUCAGCUUGUCUGCUCCAGUGGCCAUCAGGACCGAUGCACAUACCAUUUUGUUCUAAAUUAACUGUGGGGCAGCAGGGUGUCUGUGUCCUGAACCAUUUUCUCUUUCAGCAUCAGGGUUCAUUAAGCAAAUUCUUGAAUAUGGGUCUUUGGAAAUUGGUACUGAUGGAUUCAAUAAUGCUCUCUGUAUACCUUCUCCUUUAUCUCUAAUAUGUCCAUUGUGAUCAGAAGUUCACCAUAGAGCUCAGCUGGAUGGAGAAUGAUUGCCUAGUCACAUUUGCUCUGAAAAGCCUGAUUCUUGGGGAGCAAAGGAUGUACGUGAGUGGGUCAGAAGGCAUGGGUUCCUAUAUAGCUGGAGAUUCCCUGAGGGGUGAUAAGAUGGUCUGAGCUUGUAGUAAGGUGACCAGCUGUUCCAGUGUGCCUGGGACUGAGGGAUUUCGUGGGUACUUACUUUAAGUGCUAAAACUGGUAUAGUCCCAGGGAAAUCAAGAAGAUUGGUCACCCUAACUCAUAUGCCAAAGUAUUUAGUCAAAGCUAUGGUUUUUCCAAUAGUCAUGUGUGGAUGUGAGAUUUGGACUAUAAAGAAAGCUUAGCACUGAAGAAUUAAUGCUUUUGAACUGUGGUGUUGGAGAAGACUCUUGAGAGUCCCUUGGACUGCAAGGGGAUCCAAUCAGUCCUUCCUAAAGGAAAUCAGUCCUGAAUAUUCAUUGGAAAGACUGAUGCUGAAGCUGAAACUCCAGUACUUUGGCCACCUGAUGUGAAGAACCAGCUCAUUGGAAAAGACCCUGAUGCUGGGAAAGACUGAAGACAGGAGGAGAAGGGGACGACAGUGGAUGAGACGGUUGAAUGGCACGACUGACUUGAUGAACGUGAGUUUGAGUAAGCUCCAGGAGUUGGUGAUAGACAGAGAAGCCUGGCAUGUCCAUGAGAUCACAAAGAGUCGGACAUGACUGAGCAACUGAACUGAACUGAGUUUCCCCUCUUGGGGUUCCAGGGAUUGGCUGCUGAAGGACUUAGAGGAGGUUUGAUGCCUCUCUGGCAGCACGUUGCAGAGCCUCCAGAUUAGCGGAAGCCCUUAACAGGCAGCAUGCAUGACUUUUAACCACCUGACAUACACAUUAAAAUAUGAUUUCCCAGUCCUGUCCCCCCGCGAAGUUCUGAUCCAGUACAACAGAUGUGGCCUUUUAAGUAAGCUGCUGAUUUGCUUCUGGUAUACGUGCUCUGUUUAGUUACAUACUUAAACAGAACUACUGUUGAGAAUUGGUGUGCUUCAGUUAAAGAGAUAUUCAGGCUAAGCUAGAAAUAUGUUGUCAUGAACUUUUCCAGACCAAGAAUGUGAUAUUUAAAAAAUAAUGUAGCCUUUGGUGCUUUGCUUCAGGUGCUAGUGUAGGCUGAAAUAAUCGUUAGAAGAAAAAACAAGUUUUGGGGUGUUUUUCAUUUUCUGAUUGUUUGGAUGUUGGUGAAAUGAAAAAUUGACCCAAGGUCUUGGAAAUGUUUGUUACUAUUAUCUCUUCUGUCCUGACAUUCAGGAAAGUGAGAUGAAGAGCCUGUGGUACUCUUUUCAUAGAUGGAGAACUCGGCCAAUUUCCUUGGCUUAAAAAAAACAAACCCAUGAGCGUGCAUUAUUUUACUGUUUCAGUGUGUCUGUACAUGCGUCCUUUCCUCAGCCUUCACAGGAACCUGUGCAGGUAAUAGCAUGGUCUCUAAUCUGCAGGGGAGGAAGCUAGGCACCGGGCAGCUGUGCAACCUGCUGGAGGUCGCAGGGUGGAUGAGUGAGGACACCAGUCCUGACUGGCUCCUGUGGCUCCUGAGUGACGACACCAGCCCUGACUGGCUCCUGUGGCUCCUGCCAUCACACUCUUUCAACACGUCCACGGGCCUCUCUAGAGGCCCUCUGAGACUGGAACCCGGAGACCCUGACUGUUGCGGAAGCAAGCUGUUUUUUUCCAGGCCCGUGGAUGCUUCUCACAAGAUUUAAGAUCCACUGUGACUGUUCGCUGGCUCCGUCCUCACAUCACUUCCCAAGCAGGGAAAAAUGAAAAGAAACCUGCUCCUGAUGGUUCCUUUUGGACUUCUGGGAUUAAACAAGGAUAGAUGGCAACUUAAUUUAAAAGAAAUGGAGAAAAAAAAAUAGUAGAUAGAAGUGACAAAUGGACACGGCCCACACAUGUGACACCCUCCCCCGCCCCACUCCCCGGCUGCGUACCUGCCUCCCGUCACAGCUCAGUGUCUGGCACCUUUGUCUCCCCCACCCCCUGCAGGGCACCCGGGGAGGCGGGGUGGUGAGCAGAGACAGUUGUUAGGAUUUAUGGGGCCGGUGCAGCCCCUCUUCCCACCCGCCUGGUAGGGAGGGGAGGCAGGAUUCCUUUCCUCCUGGGUAAACAUUUUCACAGGAAGCAUUUAUCAAAUGUCAGCAGGGCAGUGCGGGGGUCUGGGAUCAGUCAGGCAGGAUCUGCUUCUCUCCUGCUCUCCUGGGCGGGCGAAGGCUGUGGGGUUUCUUUGGCCUGUUCACACCCUCUCUGUCUCGUGGCCCGUCUUCUCUCAACCAGCUGAGUGAUGGGAGCAGAGAACAGAUCCUAGGACACACUGGGUCCACUCCACCCUUUUUAAUAAACAGGGUUUCUGCCAGCCUGAGCCCUGUAAUGAAACGAGCUGUCCAGACCCUUCUAGAAGAAAUGCUGAUAAGGAAAUGCCUGGAAAAGAGCUAAGCAAAUAAAGCUCCAUGACUCCUCAGGGGCUGGCCUGUGCUGGCCCUGGACUCUGAAACCAUCUCCCUUCCUCCAAGGGGGGACUUGUACUUGACUUUUCAGGUUGGGAAAAGUUGGCCAAGCAGGACCCCUGAUUCAAAGCUCUCUCCUGGAUUUUCAUAUUCCAGUCCUUGGACAGGUGCAGCGAGCGAGAAGCCUUCCCCCACCAUGCCUGCUUUUCCCUCACACUGCCUACAACCUGUUGUCUUUUCUUCUAUGAGAAGCAGUAUGAAGUAGUGAAGAGUUAAAUCUCAACUCUGAUGGCUACUAACUCUGAUGGUAUGACAUUAGGCAAGUGGCUGCACCUUCCGGGGCCCAGUUUCUUCAUCCAUCAUUUCUGUUUGUAAAUUAACUGUGCAAUGUCUCUGUUGGCACUGGGUGAGGUGUUGGAUAAAAAUGUUACCUCCUUACAGGUUUGUUGUAAGAAUUAAACGAGACAAUUCAGGGAAACACUUAGCAAAUCAUAAAACAGGGACUCAGUAACUGUGAGCAACGGAGAAGGCAAUGGCACCCCACUCCUGUACUCUUGCCUGGAAAAUCUCAUGGAUGGAGGAGCCUGAUAGGCUGCAGUCCAUGGGGUUUCGAAGAGUCGGACAUGACUGAGCGACUUCACUUUCACUUUUCACUUUCCUGCAUUGGAGAAGGAAAUGGCAACCCACUCCAGUGUUCUUGCCUGGAGAAUCCCAGGGACGGGGAAGCCUGGUGGCUGCCGUCUAUGGGGUCACACAGAGUUGGACAUGACUGAAGUGACUUAGCAGCAGCAGCAGCAACUGUGAGCAAAUACAGUUAACCUCUCUCAUUAUUUCCCAUCUGUCUUUGGAGAAUUUGAAAGCCUAUUGGUAGCCUUCCAGGCCUCCGACCCUCAUGUCAUCACAUAGAACCCUCUUGCCCUUUUCUCUGGAUCAAGGCUGCUGUCUUCCCAGACUUCUCCAUGGAACCACAGCCCAGUCAUUCACACACUCGGUAUUUUAACCAUUCAACCAAAAAGUGUGGAAUGUGUUCUUUGUGUGGCAAAGAGGAAUAAGAAAAGUCAGCAAGGAGGCUGGGGGCAGCAGAACACAUCACCAACUGCAGCUCUAUCAGAGACAGAGGUGAGACUCUGAAUGAGCAGUAAGUAGUGCUUCUUCUAGGGAAGAAGCAAUUAUUUCCAGCCAGGAGUCUGAAGGAAGGCUUCAUGAAGGAGGAGCCACUGGGCUGGGCUUUGAAGGAGGAGGAGGGUCAGUGAGUCCUGUGGAGGUGGGAACACGCUUGAGCUAGGAGUCCCAUCGCCAAGCAAAGGAAACCACUUCGGCCCAAGGAGAUGAAGUCUUUGGUCUCUGGGCUGUCACUUAAUUGUGCAGACAUUUUAAAGUUUCCACUGGAUUACCAAUAAUACUUGUGGGUUAUCUUUCACAUACAUGCUGCUUAAAUCUCACAAAAAAAUUGAGUCAGAACAAGAAUUCUUAUGCCUACUUUCCAGAUGAGGAAACUGUGACUCAGCGAAGUGAAGGGUUCUGACUGUGUACACAAAAGCGGCCUGUGGGAACUCAGGUCUCGUGGCUCCAAGUCCAGAGCAGUUUCUGUGGCAUAAAACUGCUCCCACUUCCCCCCAUUGCCCCCUCUCCCCAAACCCUGUUGACUCAUCCCACUUCACCCAGGCUGGUAAAGUUGGUCUUUGGAGGCAGAAGAGCUCUGAGCUGGUCCCUCAGCCUCAGCUGAUGCUGCUUCAGCACUUACCAGGACUCUGCAGUAAUAUCCUUAGAUAUCCUCCUGCGUCCAUCGGAUGGCCUCCAAUCCAUCUUCUAUACUCAUGUCUAUGAUAACCUUGCUAAAGCCGAGAUCUGACCAUGCUGCACUCUUACUCGAAAACCUUCAGUUGUUAUUCUGCCUUUAUAGGACCAACCCCAACUCCUUCACCUGUUUUUCCAGGCCCUUCAGGAUCCAUCCUGCACUUUGGGCCUCUCCCAGAUUCCUUCCUUGGGCUUCCUGUGUGUGAGAUACUGAAUUUCUUGCGGUUCCCCAAAUCCUUCAAGCUGUCCCUCUCAUAGUUCUGGGCCUACAGGGGCUCUAGAGCCAGACUUCCUGGUUGUAAUAGUCAGACCCACCACUUGACUAGCUGUGAGAGUGAUUACAAGUGCUUCAACAGCACUGAGUCAGCUUCCUUAUCCUUAUCAGCUUCCUUAUCUGUAAAAUGGAAACGAUCCUAGGACCCAUCCUGGGAGGAUAUGGGACAGACUCUUCUUCAUAGAUACAUGACGAUUAGCCUAAGGUUUGGAUCAUAGUGGGUGUUUAAUAGAUACUGUGGGGCUGUUUGCAGUGCAGGAAAACUUUCCCUGGCUGGUGAGUUUCCUCUGCUGGACCAGUUCUCUGGCUCCUUCUCGUGUUGCCUCCUCCAGGAAGCCUGCCUAAACUGCCUCUGUUACAGAGAGUUGGACCAUAAAGAAGGGUGAGUGCUGAAGAAUUGAUGCUUUUAAACUGCGGUGCUGGAAAAGACUCUUGAGAGUCCCUUCAACAGCAAGGACAUCAAAUCAAGUCAAUUCUAAAGGAAAUCAACCCUGAAUAUUCAUUGGAAGGACUGAUGCUGAAGCUGAAGCUCCAAUACUUUGGCCACCUGAUGCAAAGAGCUGACUCAUUGGAAAAGACCCUGAUGCUGGGAAAGAUUGAAGGCAGGAGAAGGGGAAGACAGAAGAUAAGAUGGUUGGAUGGCAUCACUGACUCAAUGGGCAUGAGUUUCUGCAAACUUUGAGAGAUAAUGAAGGACAGGGAAGCCUGGUGUGCCACAGUCCAUGGGGUCACAAAGAGCUGGACACGACUUAAUGAUUAAACAACAACAAUCUCCG